rnacentral:lncRNA from 1 species
AACAUUGAUUGUUCUCAAAUGAGCCACACCGCAGAGACAGAGGAUAAUUCUCCUUCUCCCAAGGUUCUGAGGGCAGAAUCCAGGGCCUGGCACAUCCUAGGCAAGUUCCCUACCACUGAGCUACAUCCCCAGCACCCAGCCACUCAGCUUUAAAUCCAAGGACACCGUUAGAGAGGAUAUGAAGUAAAGUGCUGACUUCACCAGCCACCCUCAUGAAACCAGUGAGGCUCAACCAGCCCAGCGACAACUUUGUCACAGUCCAGAGAUGUUUUCAUCACAUCUGGAAAUAUGCCACUGACAUCAAACUACAGAGGCUGGAGUUGUGAGGGCAGGUGCUUUUAAAUAGAUCAUAAUCCAUAGACUAGAAGCCAACACAAGAAAUUCCACUCCAAAGUGAUGCUCAUGGAGAGGGUAAGAAACCCUGGUCUAUGCAUCUAUGCAAGACAAUUUCUCUGCUUGGGUAAAUCAAGGUCUUAUUAUCUCUCUCUCAAUCUCUCUGUCUGUCUCUCUGUCUCUCUGUCUCUCUCUCUCUGUCUCUCUCUCUGUGUCUCUCUCUCUCUCUCAUAAUUCAUCCUUUCAUAAGUCAAAGGAGCAUGUUUCUACUUCCCUUCCCUUUUCGUUACCAGACAUUUUUUACAAAUCAAGAAAGAAGGGCAUUGCCCUUGGCAUACUAAGGCUGCACACUGAAGGACCCUCACCUACCAUCCUUUCCAUGACUGAUGCACACACAGAGAGAAGAGAGCUGGCUUGCACGUGCUCACACUCCCUUCUCUGAGAUUGCUCCUUCUUCCCUGCGUGAAGCGCAUUCACUCAUCUUGUGUCCUGCAGCUUUAACCUGGUUAAGAGCCCACAGCCGCAAGCUAUCCAUUUUCCCCCUGGUGAAUGAUGAUUCUCCUCCCCAGGGACGUUAACGCCCUUGACAGGAGCUUCCUGGAAGCUCCUUAAAGCCAAGAGGCUGUGAAUCAGCAUAACCAUCACCUCUCUGGGAGAGCCUCAAGGAUGCACUUAACCUCCACCUCCAUGGAUGGGGAAGAAGGCUGGGAAAAGAAGUCAGAGGGUACUCGGGAAUAAAAGCUGAACACCCAAACUAGACCCCUACCCUGCCCUUCUGCAGCAGGCAGACACAGAAUGGCAGUGAAGAGGGGAAAGUCAGCCUUCUUGCCAAGAUCUCCCCUUCAUUGCUCUAAGGCUGGUUCAGAGCUUUGCAGUCACAGGUUUCUAUUCAUUCUUAAAGCGUUGAUCAUCCUCGACAACCCUGACAAAGCCUGCCAAGUCACAUCCUCCUGAGCUCAAGGCUCCCAUCUGGCCUCGAGGAGAGAGAAAGGCUUUCUCAUCUUCCUCCUCCUCCUUAGGACUUCUCCAUCCUCCUCUCGUGCAUCUGUGCUCGAUCCUAAAACAUUCUCCUUCUGUUCACACUCCCACUGGUCCUGACCAGCUCACACUCUUCCUCCAUCUUGCCCUGUUCCUGAUCGUCCCUCAAAGCCAGAAGCCAGGCCAACCAUAGCUGGCCUCCACUGCUCCUAGUAGGUCUUCUCUUACACACCUCUCACAGGCUUCCUCUAAAUGGACUCCCUCUUCACAUCUAUGGGCUGGCCCCCCUCAUGUCCUUCCCCCAUCCAUGGGAUACCCACCUACUUCCUCUUAGGCUUUGUCUUCACCAUUUUGGAAUAUAUAAGGAAUAGACGUAUUUUUUGUGCUUUUAGGGGGAUGCAUUGGCUCGUCCUUUUUUCAUUGACAUCUUGAUGACAAGUACAGCCACUGGCUGCAGUAGGCUCUCAAGCACACACUGAGUAGCUGAGGAAUUGGACUAAGUUGCUUAUGUUCAUUUCAUCCAGUUCCUAUUCCCAGAUACAAAACUGAAUAACAGAAUGCUGAUAACAGGCUCCAGACCGUGACUGACAAAAUUAAGUAAUAUACCUCCGAGAAGCGUUUGCAAUGAUGCUUGUUUUUUUUAAUUGUGGUAAAAAAAUUUAUAUAUAUAUAUAUAUAUUGCUAUCUAAAGUAUAAGGUUCAAUAGUGUUAAAUGUGUGUGUUAUCGUUAUAACCUUUUCAUCUUAUGAAACUGAAACUCUAUAGCCAUCAAGAAAUGGCUCUCCAAGCCCGAGCCCUUGGUACCCAUCAUCUAAUUUCUCAGAGAGUCAUUAGAUUUACCGCUGAGGUAUCAGGACUUUUGAGAAUGCUGUCCAUCACCUUCCUGUCAGAGGGUGAAAGAAGACACCAACCACCAUCACAAGUCCCUGGACCUGUGGAGAGAUGUCUACCUAAUGCUGAGAGAAGAACAAGAUCAAAUUCCUCACUCACUUCAGGGCUGGGCAAACGAGUCAGUGGCAGGGUACUUGUCCAGCAUGCAUUAGGGUUUGAGUUACAUCCCUAGUGCUAGAAAGGAAAGAUGGGGGGAAAAGAAAACGGGAAAAAAAGGAAAACACAAAUCCUAGCUUGAGAAAAGUCCCAUUUGAGCCCUGUCUGAUCAAGUUCAAAUCAACACAAGGGAAAAGCCUGUAUUCACCCACCUGCAUGCCUCCAUUAUUCUUUUUAAGAUAUGUAAAUGCUAGAAAUUAAUUGCUACCUUUUGUGGCUUUUGUAAUAUUGAUUCCUUUGAGCACCAACAUUAUCAUAUUAUUACUAUUUAUUAUUAAGAUAAGAUGGGUAAGUGCAGCAUAUGGCCAGUAUUGGCCCUAGAAAAUGUCAGUGCUCCUUUCCACCAAACUGAAAGACGGAGCACACAAAGGCAGCCAAGACUGAAAGGAGAGCAUAGAGCCCUGGGCCCUGAAGCCUAAGGCCCAUUCCCCCUUCAUUUCUGCAGCUCAGCCCUGCACAGAGCUAAAGGAGAUGAGCCUCGUCCAAGUUUUCGUUUGGACAGUCGUAUUUUCCAUUCUAACUGCAUAGGUGUUCUUGGCAACAGUCAAGCACUGAUCUCCAUUUCAAUGUGGGCCUGCCAUGUCAAGAAGUCACCAAAUAUAUAUCUACACUAAGACUAAAUGGCAUUAUAUUCAGAGCCAUACUUCCCUGGAUGUAAGAACCUCAGAAUUCUGCCACUAAGCUGAGAACUGGAAACAAGUUUAACCCUGUGUAGAACUUCUGUUUUCGCCCUUGUUCAUAAAUAAGGUCCUCAUUGUCAUAAAAGUAAGAGACAGAAUGAAGAGGGCUGUAUACCAUGUACAGGGGCCAUGUGUCCGGAUUAAGAGUCCCUGAAGAGAGACCAAGAGAUGAUAUCACUGACGUAGGUUCUGCUUACAGCAAGAGAGAGACCCCAGCAUCCCAGAGAUGUCCAUAUCAUGGGAUAACCUCAAAGUCAGCAGCAGGUGUGCAGUGGAGCUAGCCUGAGCUUGCAGGGCUUGCUGUGUACACUGUGACAAACCCUUGGGGGCCUAGACCAUUGUGAGCUCCUGGAGUCUGACACUGAGCCUUACACUCAACUUUGGCUUUGCUUUGGUCUGAUUGUGGCUCUGUCCUUAUUCUUCCUUCCUGUAGUUUAAAAAAAAAGUGUUUAACUUAUUUUUAAUUUUAUGAGAAGCCACAGUUAAUUACACUUUGGAAAGUUUGGAGAGACUUUGGACUUUGGAUUUUUAAAGAAAUUUUGGUUUUAGAGAGACUGAAUUUUUAAGGUGAUGAAUUUUUAGACUAUGGGACUUUUAGAAGUUGAAAUAUUUUAUACUGUAAUACUAACAUACCAUUUUUGGGGG